UCGGUUUUUUCCGAAGAAUACAUUUUUCCUCGGUAUUCCAUAAGAAUAUUCCGACGGAUUGAUAUUUCCUCGGAAUUCCGUCGGUAUAUUCCGAGGAAACACCAAAUUUUGUGUUUCCUCGGAAUAUCCUCGGAAAUUCCUCGGGAUAUUCCGAGGAUUUCAUUUUCCGUCGGAAUGUCCGUCUGAAUACCGCUGUUUUCUUGUAGUGGAUGAUCAGUUAGAGGAGAUCAUGAUACUUAUGAAGUCAUGGAAACCUAUGAAGGGAAGGGACACCAAGCUUCCAAGUAAGAAGCUAGUGAAAACAGGGGGUGUAUUUAUGGGAGGUACUACUAAGAAGAGGACUGUGCAGAGAAGAAGCUACUGGCCAAGCACACAAGUAAGGUGGGAGAUAAGGGAAUACUAUCCCAAGGAAGGCUCCGGUUAAGCCAGCAGCUGAUCAGGAAUAAAAUCUGAAGUGUUUUUAAGUUUGAAGUUUAAAUUUUCAUGAAUAAGUAUUGGGAUAUAGUCAUUGAACCCCAUGAGUUUCUCUUUGAUUUUGUUUUUCUUAUCUGUUAUGAGGGUCCUAUGAAAUCUGCAUGGUUUUUGAAUAAAUGUUUUGAUUACCAGAUUUUGUUUAAGAGGCUAGUUGUUAGUGUUUAUUUAUAUUCUUUGGUUUUGUGGAUGUGGAACUUAGUCCAAAGAUAGCCACACUUAGUUAAAGUCUUAGCGAUCAGAAUAUUUCAUAUUCUAUGGCUUGGUUCUUAUGUGAUAUGCAGUUUUUGGGGGAUAAGUUGAGUGAUGAAUUAAGAGAUAUAAGAAACGUGUUGUUUAUCUCUCAAUGGUUCUACUGUAAAUUAGGAUAAAAGAAAUAUCUAUGGGUAUACGUGUCUUGGCAGAGAUGGUGUUGUUGUAACGAUUUGUAUAUUGAUUCUGGAACUUGGGACUUUUAUUGGAUAAAGCAUAUUGCCAUGGAACUCUUGAUAAGGACUAUCGUCGAGCAUCAUGUGAUGCAGGUUGGAACGAUGCUUACAUAUAUUCGUAAUGGGACUUGGAUGAUCAUGGGUUGUAUUCAGACCAAGAUUUAUAUAUUUGUGAUAUCACUCAAAUUAUCCUAGAGCGACUUUUACUCUUUCAAAUAAGAGGUUCAUUUGCAGUACUUAGGAAUCGAAUCCACAAGGAUCGAGGGCACACAAUAAAUCUAAAGAAAUAAUAAUUAAGCUAGGUAGUAAAUUAGAAAUCAGUAAGCGAGGGCACACAAUAAGAGGUUUAGUUGCAACUCAUAUCUCGGAAUAAAGCCAUCAAUUUGAACAAGUCAAGAACCAAGACUAUAUAUGAUGCUUGUCAUCAUGGGUUAUCACCUUCUUUAUCGCCAUGUCUUUAACCAACAAAGAUUUGUUAUCAACGGUAAAUUAAUCUGAUGUGUGUUUGGACACAAAUAGAAAAGAUUUGGUAAUAGCAGGACAAAAAAAUACAUCGUCAAGUGGAAACGUAUGCAUAGAAAAUAGAUCUGACAUGAUUAAUAGAAAGUCACCAUUACCGACUAUAACUUGAUCAAUUCAUAAAUAUGAUUCUGCUGAUUGUAACUGAGAACCACCAUUAGUGAUAUUAGCAGAAGCAUCAUAGUCCGUGUACCAUUAGUAACAAGAAAACUGUUCAUGAUCUGAAAGCUUCAAAGUGAUCAAGGCUUUGUGAAGAAUGUCUGGAGACUGAUACUCUUGAUCAAAAUGGUUGUAGUAUCAAGCAGCUGAAUGUCCAUAACGUUCACCAAUAUGAUAGGUAGGUUUGUAGCCAGUUUUGGAGCAUCUGAAAUGCUGGUGAAACCCAUGGCCACUAGUAGAGUAUGUACCUAAGCCACUAGAGUUUCCUGAACCUCUCCCAAGAUUUCCUUUGUUGUUUAGUAUCCUCGGCCUCUAUUGGAAUAGCCUCUUCCAGUAUAAAAGGCCAAAUGUGGAUAACAUCAGAUGCAUGGCUAUAUACCUGUAGCUUGUCAUCAAAUUUAACAAGAUUGAAAACAACAUCUUCAAAACUCAUCUUAGAAGUAUAGUCCAUGGAAUGAUGUAUGACUGUAGAAAUGGACUCAUAUUAUUUACCUUAACCACUUAAAGGAUCAUAAAACAUUUCUUGUUUUUAAACCAGACAACAUAUCGAGUCUAGCUGGUCACAGAUACUCUUAACAUCACCAAGGUACUCAGCCAUAGUUUUUGGUUCUUCGACACACCUUGUAGGUUGCGUUAAAGGUCAAACUUACGAGUCAAAAACGCUGUUGUAUUACUUUCUGAGGCUGAACCAGACUUCUUGAGAAAAGUGAAGACCGUAGACAGAGUGUCAGAGAACCAAACAACCACGCUAUGAAAAGAUGAUCUUUGUGGAUGCAUUUGAUGAACUCUGAGUUUGCUUCCUCAUACACCACAUAAUCAUAUCAGACUGACUGUUGGUAAUGGUCGAGGAGAAGACUUUAUGAACCCGAGCAGAGAUUGACUGGAGAUAAAAGAUUCGAGCUACAUUUUCCAUAAAAGUAUUUUCUGGAAGAGAGCUUCGAGGUAACACAUUGUGAGAUUCUCAAUGAUGAAAUGGAAAUAGGAUCCAUAGAUUCGACCAUGUCUUUGAUACCAUGUAAAUCUCACUAACGCAUGAACUAGACUAAAGGAUUUCAGAUUUUUUUUUUUUUUACAACUUAAGAAAUGUUUAAAGAGUCUCAUGUCUUUUUAUAACCAAGACUUGAUCUUAUCAUAUGCAUACAUUAGCACAUGAUUCCACAAGAAUCUAGACACCCAAAUCUGUUGAAGGUAGAGGUAUCAUGUGCUGGCGUCUUUGUACUGUGCGAUGGCCUCUUCGUACAACUAUCACCACAACUCCUUUGACUGAGUAAGACCAGGGCCGGCUCAAAGGGAAGGACAAUAGGUGCACCGCCCCGGGGCCCGCGAAACAAGGGCCCCAUUAAAAAAAAAUUUUAGUUCACCUUGUAAUUAUUCAAAAUUUUGACAGAUUCUUUUGAGGAGUAUGUAUUUGUCGUGGACGAUGGGUUUAAGGAAAAAUAUAGACAUAUGAGUGGGGUCCACAAGGUAUGGGCCCAUUUAAAAAAAAAAUAGUUAACAUUGUAAAGUGUCGAUCUCUAGAUUAUUUGGGGUUUUCUGUUUUCUUUUAUUUUUGGUUAACUUGUUCUUACAAAAUUCUUUCAUCUUCUUUCUCUAGACUCAGGACCGGCUCAAAGGGAAGGACAAUCGGUGCACCGCCCCGGGGCCUGCAAAACAAGGGGCCCAUUAAAAAAAAAUUAGUUGAACUUGUAAUUAUUCAAAGUUUUGACAGAUUCUUUUGAGGAGUAUGUAUUUGCCGUGGGCGGUGGGUUUAAGGAAAAAUAUAGACAUAGCUGUGGAGUCCACAAAGUAUGGGGCCCAUUUAAAAAAAAAAUUAGUUAACGUUGUAAAGUGUCGAUCUCUAAAUUAUUUAGGAUUUUCUGUUUUCUUUUCUUUUUGGUUAACUUGUUCUUAGAAAAUCCUUUCAUCUUCUUUCUCUAGACUCUAAAUCUUAGAAAAUUCAUUUUUACAUCAGAAACUUCGAUUUGAUCACUCUAGUCUCUCUGGUUGACUCUUUCUUUGGGAAUUCAUAUUACAAGGUGAUAUUUUUCUGUUUAUUUGAUAUUUUGCUUAGAUCAUGACUGGUGAUUCAGGAUGUCAAAAAAGAAAAAAAAAAAGAAAGGUAGCAGAAUUAUCUUUAAAAUCUCAUAAAGGUUCUAUGGAUAGAUUUGUGAUAAAAAAAAAUGUUAAUGAAAACCCUGAAUCUGCUACUAAAGAUAAGUACUGAAUCAAAAGAUCAUUUUGAUGAUAGUAUUAGUCACUUGAGUGAGCAUGAUAAUGUGUUAGAUGAAUCUAAUGUUGAAAGUAUGAAUGUUCAUGAACCAAAAAGCUCAUUCAUCGAUAUAUAUGAUCCUAGGUAUUGGAAUAACCUUGAUAAUAAAAUGAAAGAUUUAUUGGUUGAAAAAGGGUUUAAAAGAGAAAUGAAUCUUGUGUGUCCCUUAGAUAAGAGCUCUAGACGUUUUUCAAAUGUAUUAUUCUAGGAAAUUGAGUAAUGGGGAAAUUAGAGAUAGAAAUUGGCUGGUUUAUUCGAAACAUGAAGAACAAAUGUUACUGUUUUUGUUGCAAGUUGUUUAAAUCUAGUGUUUCCUUAAGUUUGUUAGCUAAUGAUGGAUUAACAGAUUGGAAGCAUCUUAGUGAUAUACUUAAACACCAUGAAAUAAAUGCAGAUCAUAUGACUAACAUGAAAACUUGGAAUGAGUUGAAAGUUAGAUUGGAAAAAAAUCUGACGAUUGAUAAAGAAUUACAAAAGGAAAUAGCAAAAGAAAAAGAGCGUUGGAGACUUGUUUUAACUAGAAUAAUUGCUGUAGUGAAAUUUCUUGCUAAGCGGAAUUUGGCAUUUAGAGGAAUAAAUGAGAAACUUUAUCAAGAUAACAAUGGUAAUUUCUUAGGUUCUAUUGAGAUGAUUGCAGAAUUUGACUUGGUAAUUCAAGAUCAUAUUAGACGCAUUCAAAGUCAAGAAAUUCAUCAUCAUUAUCUUGGUCAUAAUAUUCAGAAUGAGUUUAUCUCUCUUUUAGCUCAUAAUGUUUAACUUUCUAUAGUAGAAAUCAUUAAAGAGGCAAAAUAUUUUUCUGUCAUUCUUGAUUGUACACCAGAUGUGAGCCAUCAAGAGCAAAUGACUCUAAUAAUACGAUGUGUGAAUCUGUCAAACAAAAAAGUAAGAAUACAAGAGUACUUCUUAGAGUUUGUUAAGGUAGAUGACAUAUCUGGAUUAGGACUUUUUGAAAAAUUGUUAGAUUCUCUAAAGUCUCUAACUCUUGAUGUUGGUAAUGUGAAAGGUCAAGGUUAUGAUAAUGGUUCCAAUAUGAAAGGAAAACAUCAAGGUGUUCAGAAACGAUUUCUUGAUAUAAAUCCAAAAGCAUUAUAUAUGACAUGUGCUUGUCAUAGUCUUAAUCUUGUGGUUAGCGAUAUGGCUCAUUCAUGUGUUAAGGCUAUUUCAUUCUUUGGAAUUUUGCAGCGCAUAUAUGCCUUGUUUUCUGGUUCUACAAAGAGAUGGAAGAUUUUACUUGACCAUGUUCUUUUUUUUACAGUGAAAUCCUUAUGCAAUACUCGUUGGGAGAGUCGAAUCAAGAGUGUCAAAGCAAUCAGAUUUCAAGCUCCACAAGUAAGGUCAGCUUUAUUGGAAUUAUAUGAAUCAUGUGAUGAUGCUAUGACAAAAAGUGAUGCUGAAAGCUUAAUCUUGUCAUUUGAUAAUUUUGAAUUCUUAAUUGGCAUGGUCAUUUGGUAUGAAAUUUUGUUUGCUAUUAAUUCGGUGAGUAAAAACUUACAAGCUAAAUCUGUUUGUAUUGAUAAUGCUUUGAAACAACUAGAAGGUGUAGUUCUAUUUUUGGAGAAGUUUAGACAUGAAGGGUUUGCCUCUAGUUUGGGUAUAGCUCAAAAUAUUGCUCAUGAUAUGGAUGUUGAUCAUGUCUUUCCAAGUAAGCAUCGUAUCUUUAGGAAAAACAAUUUCAUGAAACUCAGUUAGGUGAAGAAGUACUAACUGGUGAAGAUGAUUUCAGAGUUAAUUACUUUAUAGUUGUGGUAGACAUGGCAAUAACUUCGGUCAGGAACAGAUUUGAUCAAAUGGUGAAUUUUAAAAAUGUUUUUGGAUUUCUAUUUGAUUUGAAAAAAUUAAAGGUAUUAGGUGAAAGUGAAAGUGAACUACGAGAACAUUGUACUAACUUUCACAAAGUUUUUUUCUGGUAAUUUUUCAGAUGUUGAUUUAAAUGAUUUUUAUUCUGAAUUGAGAAUCUUGCAAACUACUUUACCUGAUGUGCCUAUGGAACCUAGUGAAGUUCUUGAGUUUGUUGAAAGUGUGGGUUGUUAUCAAAAUGUUACAAUUGCUUAUCGUAUUCUUUUGACCAUACCUGUGACUGUAGCUUCAGGGGAAAGAAGUUUUUCAAAAUUAAAAUUACUGAAAAGUUAUUUACGAUCUUCAAUGUCUCAAGAAAGAUUGAAUGGUUUAGCUAUUUUAUGCAUUGAAAAAGACAUGUUAGAAGACAUUGAUUUUGAAACUAUUAUUCAUGAUUUUGCAUCGAGUAAAGCUCGAAAGAACUGUUUCUUAUGAUUUUUUUAAUGUUUUAGAUGACUACUGUUUUUCUUUGCUUUUCAGAUUCGAGAAACAUGUGCAAGUAUGAAAUCAUUGAUACUGCGUGAAAGCUAGGAAGAAAAGGAGAAGCAUAACAAAAAUAAUUCUGAUUUUUAUGGUCUUGAUGACUACGUUUAUAAGAUAUAAGAUGCAAACUAUUUAUUUUAUGUGAGAUGUUUUUCCUAAAUAUUGUUGUUUAUUAUUUUAAUUAUAGUAACAGUUUUAUAA